GCUGGAUUCGCUAGUAAUCGCGCAUCAGCCAUGGCGCGGUGAAUACGUUCCCGGGCCCUUGUACACACCGCCCGUCAAGCCAUGGGAGCCGGGAGUGCCUGAAGUACGCGACCGCAAGGAGCGUCCUAAGGUAAAACCGGUGACUGGGGCUAAGUCGUAACAAGGUAGC
rnacentral:rRNA from 1 species